rnacentral:piRNA from 1 species
UGUGGGACACUUCAGGGUGCAGU